GUUACUUUCAAUGUCCAGCUAGUCGCCAGUUCGAUUGGCACGAGGGUUUUAGGGGAAGGGUUAGUGAAUGAAAAAUUGGUUUUGGAUUUGAAGAUGAGGUAGGUAUUUUAAAAUACCUCUGUUUUUGUUUUUAUUUAUUAAAUAAUAACAUAUGACCAUUCAUUUAGCUUAAUUACAGAUUUUACUGGACUUUCAUUCAUGCCCUUCGGUUAAAAUAUAUGGCCAAGUCUAGAACCACAGAGCACCUAAUUAGGCUUUCCCCUUCUUUCCCUGUAUUUGGUCCAUAUCUGCAUACUACGUGUGUGAUUAUGAUCUUCAUAGUUAAUGGCAAUAACAUGACAAUUUGGUAAUUUACUAUAUACUAAUUCUCAUCGAACUGUUCAUCGGCUUAUGAACAAUGUCGGCUGGAGCCGAGCCGGUUAUGGAUGAAAGACGAUUUUGCCCUUCCAUUCUGUUUCUUGCUUCGACACUUGGGGUGCUGCUCAGUGUGUGUUGUUUCUUCCUUCGACACCUGGGUGUCUUUGCUACUUCACUCCACAAAGAGGGGUUUAGGGUUGUCGUAUUGGGUUUGUCAUCAACAAGGAGAAGGAAGGCGAUUAUGGGUUAUUGGCUCAACCUUGAGGUGGAGGUGCGUUGAGAAAAGCAGGAGAGCUGCAGCUUCUGGCAUUUGAGUUGUGGCCUGAAACAUCCGAUUCCAGAGUCAUUGUUCAUGCAUGUAGACAUAGGUUGCUUCUACGUUCAAGGUUUCACCUGCUACUAUCAUUGUUGUUGCAAUUGAUUUUUCUGUUGUAAAAAAUUAGUCUGCAAGGUCUGAAAAAAAAAAGGAGAAGCUUGAAUCUGUCAAUCAAGAUUGGAAGAAUUUUUGGGUGGAGCUAUCGGUGAUUUUUGCUCAAGUUGUAUCUAGCUGGAGCUAUCGGUGGUUCAGUCGUUUACUUGGACCACCAUACCUGGAUGUACUUACCGCCAGAGGGAAAGAUCUAAGGCAUGCAUCACCAGUUCGAUGGAGUUCGGUUCUAUUAAGCAUCAUAGACAUUUCUGCUCCUAGAUUGCAUCAACAGGUAAUGGAGCACCUGGAUGGAAACAACCACAGUCAGCUUUACAAUGUCAAGAAGGGUAAGAUUAUGUAAAAAUCAAAUCUGCUAAAUUUUGAUCAUAUUAUUUUCAGCCUCCUUUUCAAAGUUUAUGAGAUCAAAAUUUUUUGGAUUAUACAAUGACUCAAAUCAAUGCUUUUGUAAUUGUUUUUAUGAGAUGAGGUGCAUAUAUAGCAAAAGAAUAUGCUUUGAGAGGCAAUGUUUUAAUUGUCUGUGAAUCUGUGAUAAAGUGGUUAUGUGUGUCGGUAGGAUGUGAGAAUGAAUUAAUCCCCAUGAAAAUCAGUUCUAAGACUUUAGAUCUGAAAUCAUGUAACUGAAUGUUACUGUUCAUAUAUGGCUAAACUGAAAAUUAUGCAUGAACUCAAAGUAGCCUUGAUAUCAGCACACGAAAGAUUGUCGCACUAUCAUAUAGAUUUUAUUGUAAAGGUAUUCCGAGAAGAAUUAAUAUAGACUUGAACAGUAAUUUGGUAAAUUUGAAUUUUGGUCUCUUAUGAUAUGUUUGAUAGAUUUGCUUAUAUUUACCAUGUGCUUUGCUUGCUCAUAUCAACUCAACCAAUCAACUGAGUUUUAGGACCUAAAUGAGUGGUCUGUGCUUAAACCCCUUCCAUCUUAUGGUACAAGAACAGAUGCAGCGGCUGGAAGGUUCCAAGUUAUCAUAAGAAGAGGCAGAGAAUAGAAAGUCUUGCCUAUUCCAUGACCAAAAUGAUGGCACAUAAGAUCUUAUGGGAAGAAAAUCUAUCCUUCUGACAAUAAGUCAUGAUUGCCUCCAGUGCUAUGGUCCUUAAUUAUUGAAAGCAUUGCACAAACAAAUCGCAGUGUCUACAGCUGAGAUACAGAAUGGUACUGACGUAGAGGUUUAUGGAUCACCAAUUGAAAGAGGAAUUCUACACUUGAGGAAUUAAGAUUCUAUUCAAUCUCGAGGAUCAGAGCUCUUUCCAAUGUUCAAUCUAUCCAUAAAAGUAUUCUGCAGAGUCUCAAGCAACAGCAUUUGAUAGAGUUUCAGAUAACUACAACUUCAAUACACUUCAUGCAAGUGGCUUUCUAUGGACUAUCAGUGACCUCAACAACAAUCUGGAUCAACAUUAUCUUCUCAGUAGGUUUGAUUUCAAGUUAAUGAUUCUGGUGGAGAAAUUCGUGUAACGUGUUUUAAUCAUGCAGCCAAAAAAUUAAUGUAUGCGACAAAAACAAUAUAAAUAUUCUGAUAUGUAAUGUUAUAAGAUCACCUUACCUAAAUUGUAAAGUUCGACAAAAACAAUCAAUGAUUAAAUCAAUCCCGCAGCAAAGCACGGGCAACACUUGUAGUUGUAGAAUAGCUGUAAAUCUUAUGUAAUUAUGAUUCUUAUUUAUUUAGGUUAUCAUGUAAUUAUAGGAAUGAUUGUUUCCUGUUAGGGUUAGACUACUCCUCUUGUCCUUGUAUAUAUACC